GAAAGGGAAUGAUACACUGGAUUCCUCUGGACAGGGAUGCUGCUGCUUCACAGGACAUUCUGGAGAGCAGAGAUUCAAGAUCAAGACCUCCUUCUCUGGAGGUCUCUCCACUUUGCUGGAUUCCUGGACCAAAUACACAAGUAAAGGAAGAUGAAAGAAUGAAAAAGAUUCACGGUCUCUAGUUGGCUGAAUCAUCAGCAGGAAGUACGCAGAAGAUAACACAGGCUUGCGCUGCCUUCAUGAUAACCAAGAACAUUGGAGAUAAUCAUCUGAUUUAUCUAACUUUGCUCAGGUUACCCCUUGACCAAUGAUGCAAUUUAGGGCAACAAAAAUCUAGUAGAAACAUCUGUAAACUGAAACAGACCCAGAGGCCAGCAUCAAAAGGUGAAGUCAUGUCACAUGAUGACUCAACUGGAAACGUUUCAUGUGGAUGAGAGGAGACUUAGAAGAGAUAUGACAGCUGCCUUUGAAUAUUUGUAUGGAUGUCAACAAUAAAUAGUCACUUUCUUUUUCAUAGCCCCAUCAGGACAGUCUCUAGGGAAGCAGAUUCUGUUUCAAAAUAAAAAGAGCUUUCUAGAGCUGCCAAAAAUGGAAUAGGCUGUUCCCUGGCCCUAAAGAUGUCAAACAAGGAUGAAUAGUUAGGGAAAUCUGACCAUUACUCAACAUUUCCUAUUUAAUGUCCUUCCCUACUGGAGGGUAAAUGUUUUUCAGGCUUUUCUACCCUCCUACCAUUAGGAUUGCCUGCCUGAUGGGGCACCUGCAGUUGUUACAUUGUUGUGUUGUUUACUUCUGUGGGCCAUGGGAGGAGUAUAGACAGAGUCAGAAAGAGAAGCAGAAGCAAGAGAGAGGAGAGAGAAGGGUAGAAAGAUUCCAGAGAAUCCCAGAGAGAAGACUUGCCAGGGGCUUGGCCUCCUGGCCCCCCCAGCUCCUGCACCCCUGCCUGCCUUGUACCUGGUUGCUGCAAUGCAUGUAAAGUUCAAUAAAAGCCUAAA